GUUAUUUAUAAGUAACUAACAGCUACAUAAAUGGAAACUUAGACAUGGCAUUUCGGAUACCAUUUUCACGUAACACUUGAAAACUGUUCUUAAAUUUUUUUAUAAUUAAUUGGUAACCCAAUAAAACUGAAUUGGUUACCUUUUUAUAAAGGUUUGGCUACCAACUUAUAAAUAAUAUUUUAAAAAUAAAAUUAUUAUGAAUAUGAUGCAGUUGGUAGCCAAACCUUCGUACAAAGGUAACAAUUUUAAUUUUUAUGGGUAACCAAAUAUUUAUAAAAAAAUAAACUGCACCUCUGAACUUAAAAACAUUUAAAAUAGAAUUAAAACAAAUAUAUAUCAGCCAUCAGGACAACCCAGUUUAAGUAAACCAGAAUAAAAGCUAAAUAAAACAAAGCCACUGAACUUUAAACUUUCAUUUCUCAUCAAUCCUACUGAUAAAAGAUGAGACACAAAGAGACGAGAGUAAUUAAUUAUUUAAAUUAAGUACCCUGCGAACCCUUAACAGAUUCAUGGCUAAGGUGCUCGGCCUUCUCCUUCAUUUCCUUGGCCGCACCCGCAAUCUUCUCUUUGAAUCGAUCCAGGUGGUUCGCCCCGAUCGGAUGCUUGCUGGUCGUGUAUCGGUACAUCCAAACCAGUACGAAAGUCGUUGCGGUGUCUAAUCCUCCGGAAGUGAAUAACCCCGCCAACAAAAGGAAAGUAAUGAUGGCCACCGGGAACAACAUUGGGCUAAAAAUGACCAGCACCGGCGUGGCCAGUGUUGUAUUUUAUUAUAUAUUACAAAGUUAAAUAAAGAUAUAUAUAUAUAUAUAUAUAUAUAUAUUCAUAAAUUUUGGUGAUGUACCAUUAAAAGAAUUAAAUGAGUUAUAAUAUAUUGAUGGAGAUUUGUAACUGUUGGAGGAUAUAAAUUUUAUGGCUGUUGGAAAAAUAUUUCCGUUGCUUGUAAAUGUAAUAUUUUAC
rnacentral:lncRNA from 1 species